rnacentral:rRNA from 1 species
AUUGAACGCUGGCGGCGUGCUUUACACAUGCAAGUCGGACGAGUGGCGUACGGGUGAGUAACGCAUCUGCACGUACCGAGUAAUUGGGGAUAACUGUCCGUAAGUACAGCUAAUUCCGCCUAUUAUUCGCUCGGUCGAUGUCUGAUUAGCUGGUUGUAGGGGUAAAGGCCCACCACGGCGACGAUCAGUAGCGGGUCUGAGAGGAUGAUCCGCCACACUGGGACUGAGACACGGCCCAGACUCCUACGGGAGGCAGCAGUGGGGAAUUUUGGACAAUGGGCGCAAGCCUGAUCCAGCCAUGCCGCGUGUCGGAAGAAGGCCUUCGGGUUGUAAAGGACUUUUGUCAGGGAAGCGGUACCUGAAGAAUAAGCACCGGCUAACUACGUGCCAGCAGUCGCGGUAAUUC